GACGAACGCUGGCGGCGUGCUUAACACAUGCAAGUCGAACGGAAAGGCCCUGCUUUUGUGGGGUGCUCGAGUGGCGAAAGGGUGAGUAACACGUGAGUAACCUGCCCUUGACUUUGGGGUAACUUCAGGAAACUGGGGCUAAUACCGGAUAGGAGCUCCUGCUGCAUGGUGGGGGGUGGAACGUUUCGGCGGUUGGGGAUGGACUCGCGGCUUAUCAGCUUGUUGGUGGGGUAGUGGCUUACCAAGGCUUUGACGGGUAGCCGGCCUGAGAGGGUGACCGGCCACAUUGGGACUGAGAUACGGCCCAGACUCCUACGGGAGGCAGCAGUGGGGAAUCUUGCACAAUGGGCGGAAGCCUGAUGCAGCAACGCCGCGUGCGGGAUGACGUCCUUCGGGUUGUAAACCGCUUUCGCCUGUGACGAAGCGUGAGUGACGGUAAUGGGUAAAGAAGCACCGGCUAACUACGUG
rnacentral:rRNA from 1 species